rnacentral:tRNA from 1 species
GCCCCCGUUGUCUAAUGGUUAUGACGUCAGACUUCUACACUUGUGAAUCUGGAGGUUGCGGGUUCGAGUCCCGCCGGGGGUU